AUAAGCCAGUGUUUUUGUAGCUGUGAGACCCUGUCUAUAGAGCCUCUGGGGGGAUGAACCUCUACCGUCUCCUCUGCCUGUCCAUUCUCAGGAGCUGGAGGGACACAUCUCCAUGGUGAUGACCCAAGCAGGAGUGAGCCAGGACGAGACAGCGCGGGUGUGUGACCAGAUCUGGAACGAUCAGGAAUAGAACCCCAACAAACCUUCUAGGCUGAUCUCUACCGGGUCUCCUGAGGAACCUCCUGACAUCACAGGAGGCUCCAACAUUCACAGCAAGAUGUAGUUUCUGGGUACUUCUAUCAUAAACAUUAAAGCGACCUGGUUGGCUGUGAGUACUGGGAUGAAUAUGUACCAUCUUGUCUUGGUAGAGCAGUGAUUAGAGCAUUUGACUGCAGAUCAUGAGGUAGCAGAUUGUAAUCUGCCUUUGUACAUAAUUUCGGAUUAAACAGUCUGCUAAAUAAACACAUUAUUAUUAUUAUUAUUAUUGAUGUUUUAAAAUGACAACUUGCCACACAAGUGCAACUCAGUAGCAGGCCAACAUCAACCCAGGAUCCCACCCUCAGUGUACAGUACAAUAAGCCCCCUGCUCCAGACUUUACUCUGCAACAUCACCACCUCACAAGGACAGGGUGUUCAGGUCCACAACAUGUGGCACACAUAGCUAUCCACCCCCUCUCAUAAACAGCCACUAGAACAACUCCCAUAAAGUCUCCAACUCACACAGCUUUAUCAGGUCAGUUGACUAAAUCUGGUGUUUCUCUAUUAAAGCAUGAUAGGAUAAAUCCAUUUUUGUUAUCUUUCAUAGCAUAACUGGUUAUCAGCAUUAUUAAAGGCACAGUGUUACUUCACAUGAACAGUUUUAAGUUGUAUUCAUUUUGUAGAUGUUUUUACCCUAAAGGACAGUUUGUUCUCAUGGAAGGU